rnacentral:rRNA from 1 species
CCCUUAGAUGUCCUGGGCCGCACGCGCGUUACACUGAUGCAUUCAACGAGCUUAUAACCUUGGCCGAGAGGCCUGGGCAAUCUUGUUAACGUGCAUCGUGAUAGGGAUAGAUUAUUGAAAUUAUUAAUCUUGAACGAGGAAUUCCUAGUAAACGCAGAUCAUCAAUCUGCAUUGAUUACGUCCCUGCCCUUUGUACACACCGCCCGUCGCACCUACCGAUUGGAUGGUCCGGUGAAGCCUCGGGAUUGUGGUUCUCGCCGCUUUAUUGUGGCGUGACCGCGAGAACUUGUCUAAACCUUAUCAUCUAGAGGAAGGUGAAGUCGUAACA